GACGAACGCUGGCGGCGUGCUUAACACAUGCAAGUCGAACGGAAAGGCCCUGCUUUUGUGGGGUGCUCGAGUGGCGAACGGGUGAGUAACACGUGAGUAACCUGCCCUUGACUUUGGGAUAACUUCAGGAAACUGGGGCUAAUACCGGAUAGUAUCUCCUGCUGCAUGGUGGGGGUUGGAAAGUUUCGGCGGUUGGGGAUGGACUCGCGGCUUAUCAGCUUGUUGGUGGGGUAGUGGCUUACCAAGGCUUUGACGGGUAGCCGGCCUGAGAGGGUGACCGGCGACAAUGGGACUGAGAUACGGCCCAGACGCCUACGGGAGGCAGCAGUGGGGAAUAUUGCACAAUGGGCGGAAGCCUGAUGCAGCAACGCAGCGUGCGGGAUGACGGCCUUCGGGUUGUAAAACGCAUUCGCCUGUGACGAAGCGUGAGUGACGGUAAUGGGUAAAGAAGCACCGGCUAACUACGUG
rnacentral:rRNA from 1 species